CAACCUUUCAGUAGCUAAAAAGGGAUUAAGGUUUGAUGAUGAAGCAUUUGGUAGACGACGCCACUUGUUUUCUCGGAGGAAAAAAGCGAGGGGGCAAAAGGGCGUCCCCGCGGAAAGAAAAGAAAACGUCACGACGACAGCCUUCUCCUCAAGGUGCUGCCAAAUGUGGGUCCGUCGGGGAACGCAGGAAAUACUAACACGGGCCCCGCUGGCACAGUGACGUCACAACCUAACCUAGUCAAAACUCGCGCCGUGACGUGGAACUGUUCUUCGCGAUUUUCAUUUGAUCCGCAGCAUUGUUAUCUCGUUUUAGCCCUCAGCGAAUUGCGAAAUUUAUUAUUCUGGGAGCAGUUUUUUUUUUUUGCUUUACGUCUAUAUUAAUACGUGAAUAUAUUUCUCUCAAAAUAAUGUGAAUGAAUUGUAAAGUUUGUGCAGCUAUGUCUUCUAUGAAAAGAAAUGAUAGGCAAUCUCCGCGCACUGGACCUUUUUCUUUGGUUUUUAAAAAGGCUAGGAUUAGACCCUCAAUGAUACAAGAGAUUGAAUUUGCCGUGGAUAUUAACUCCUUCUUAAACUGCUGUGUAAAAAUCUCCUUUCUAAAUACCUUGACUUUUCUGGCUGGCCAAAUUUUCCACAAAAUAAUUACAAAUGCAAAUGGACAAAUAGUGUCCUAAACCCCCCAAAGGCGUCAAGGAGCAACGGAUUGCACAAACCCAAAACUAUCCACGUAACAGCUGCGGAAUUAUAUCCUCAAUUUAUACCGUGUUAAUUAGGAGGUAGUAUGAAAAUGAAUGUAAAAGAAAUUGAACGGUGGAUUUUUACAUGAUAUAUAUGAAUAUUUCUUCGAAACAAAAUUAAGGAUAGUUUUCAACUGCAAGCCCAAAACAAAUAGCACAUCGGUACUCCAUUGUGUUGUGGUCAUGUGUAGUUGUUCUUGUGUUACAUAUACAUCUAGUUCGUGC
rnacentral:lncRNA from 1 species